CUCUGUGACUCCUACGGGAGGCAGCAGUGGGGAAUAUUGCACAAUGGGCGCAAGCCUGAUGCAGCAACGCCGUGUGAGUGAAGAAGGUUUUCGGAUCGUAAAACUCUGUCCUAAGGGAAGAAACAAAUGACGGUACCUUAGGAGGAAGCCCCGGCUAACUACGUGCCAGCAGCCGCGGUAAUACGUAGGGGGCAAGCGUUAUCCGGAAUCACUGGGCGUAAAGGGUGCGUAGGCGGCUUAGCAAGCCAGGGGUGAAAGGCAUUGGCUCAACCAAUGUAAGCCUUUGGAACUGUUAAGCUUGAGUGCAGGAGAGGUAAGUGGAAUUCCUAGUGUAGAGGUGAAAAUUCGUAGAUAUUAGGAGGAACACCAGUGGCGAAGGCGACUUACUGGACUGUAACUGACGCUGAUGCACGAAAGCGUGGGUAGCGAACAGGAUUAGAUACCCUGGUAG
rnacentral:rRNA from 1 species